rnacentral:rRNA from 1 species
AGAGUUUGAUCAUGGCUCAGAUUGAACGCUGGCGGCAUGCCUUACACAUGCAAGUCGAACGGUAACAGGUUAAGCUGACGAGUGGCGAACGGGUGAGUAAUGUAUCGGAACGUGCCCAGUCGUGGGGGAUAACUACUCGAAAGAGUGGCUAAUACCGCAUACGACCUGAGGGUGAAAGCGGGGGACCGUAAGGCCUCGCGCGAUUGGAGCGGCCGAUAUCAGAUUAGCUAGUUGGUGGGGUAAAAGCCCACCAAGGCGACGAUCUGUAGCUGGUCUGAGAGGACGACCAGCCACACUGGGACUGAGACACGGCCCAGACUCCUACGGGAGGCAGCAGUGGGGAAUUUUGGACAAUGGACGCAAGUCUGAUCCAGCCAUGCCGCGUGCGGGAAGAAGGCCUUCGGGUUGUAAACCGCUUUUGUCAGGGAAGAAACGAGUUUCUCUAAUACAGAGACUUAAUGACGGUACCUGAAGAAUAAGCACCGGCUAACUACGUGCCAGCAGCCGCGGUAAUACGUAGGGUGCAAGCGUUAAUCGGAAUUACUGGGCGUAAAGCGUGCGCAGGCGGUUAUGCAAGACAGAGGUGAAAUCCCCGGGCUCAACCUGGGAACUGCCUUUGUGACUGCAUAGCUAGAGUACGGCAGAGGGGGAUGGAAUUCCGCGUGUAGCAGUGAAAUGCGUAGAUAUGCGGAGGAACACCGAUGGCGAAGGCAAUCCCCUGGGCCUGUACUGACGCUCAUGCACGAAAGCGUGGGAAGCAAACAGGAUUAGAUACCCUGGUAGUCCACGCCCUAAAUGAUGUCAACUGGUUGUUGGGAGGGUUUCUUCUCAGUAACGUAGCUAACGCGUGAAGUUGACCGCCUGGGGAGUACGGCCGCAGGUUGAAACUCAAGGAAUUGACGG